GGCGGCGAUAGCGCGGUGGUCCCACCUGACCCCAUGCCGAACUCAGAAGUGAAACGCCGUAGCGCCGAUGGUAGUGUGGGGUCUCCCCAUGCGAGAGUAGGGAACUGCCAG
rnacentral:rRNA from 1 species